rnacentral:rRNA from 1 species
AUUGAACGCUGGCGGCAUGCCUUACACAUGCAAGUCGAACGGCAGCACGGGUGCUUGCACCUGGUGGCGAGUGGCGAACGGGUGAGUAAUACAUCGGAACAUGUCCUGUAGUGGGGGAUAGCCCGGCGAAAGCCGGAUUAAUACCGCAUACGAUCUACGGAUGAAAGCGGGGGACCUUCGGGCCUCGCGCUAUAGGGUUGGCCGAUGGCGGAUUAGCUAGUUGGUGGGGUAAAGGCCUACCAAGGCGACGAUCAGUAGCUGGUCUGAGAGGACGACCAGCCACACUGGGACUGAGGCACGGCCCAGACGCCUACGGGAGGCAGCAGUGGGGAAUUUUGGACAAUGGGCGAAAGCCUGAUCCAGCAAUGCCGCGUGUGUGAAGAAGGCCUUCGGGUUGUAAAGCACUUUUGUCCGGAAAGAAAUCCUUGGCCCUAAUACGGUCGGGGGAUGACGGUACCGGAAGAAUAAGCACCGGCUAACUACGUG